GUAGGUGGCAAGCGUUGUCCGGAAUUAUUGGGCGUAAAGCGCGCGCAGGCGGUUCUUUAAGUCUGAUGUGAAAGCCCACGGCUCAACCGUGGAGGGUCAUUGGAAACUGGAGAACUUGAGUACAGAAGAGGAAAGCGGAAUUCCACGUGUAGCGGUGAAAUGCGUAGAGAUGUGGAGGAACACCAGUGGCGAAGGCGGCUUUCUGGUCUGUAACUGACGCUGAGGCGCGAAAGCGUGGGGAGCAAACAGGGAUUAGAUACCCUGGUAGUCCACGCCGUAAACGAUGAGUGCUAAGUGUUAGGGGGUUUCCCGCCCCCUUAGUGCUGCAGCUAACGCAUUAAGCACUCCGCCUGGGGAUACGGCCGCAAGGCUG
rnacentral:rRNA from 1 species